GCCAGGCGUGGUGGUGGGCGCCUGUAAUCCCAGCUACUCAGGAGGCUGAGGCAGGAGAAUCGCUUGAACCUGGGAGGCGGAGGUUGCAGUGAGCCGAAAUCGCACCACUGCACUCCAGCCUGGGUUACAGAGCGAGAGUCUGUCUCAA
ensembl:misc_RNA Metazoa_SRP Metazoan signal recognition particle RNA